UACGAAGGGGGCCAGCGUUGCUCGGAAUCACUGGGCGUAAAGCGCACGUAGGCGGAUUUCUAAGUCGGGGGUGAAAUCCUGGAGCUCAACUCCAGAACUGCCUUCGAUACUGGAAGUCUUGAGUCCGGGAGAGGUGAGUGGAACUGCGAGUGUAGAGGUGAAAUUCGUAGAUAUUCGCAAGAACACCAGUGGCGAAGGCGGCUUACUGGCUCAUUUCUGACGCUGAGGUGCGAAAGCGUGGGGAGCAAACAGG
rnacentral:rRNA from 1 species